AGAGUCUCUGCUGCCCAGGCUGGAGUGCAGUGGUACAAUCAUAGUUCACUGCAGCCUUGACUUCCUGGGCUCCAGCAAUCCUCCCAGCUCUGCCUCCCAAGUAGCUGGGACCACAGGUGUACACUACCAUGCUCAGCUAAUUAAAAAAAUAUAUUUUUUUCUUUUUUACUUUUUGUAGAGACAGGGGUCUCACCGUGUUGCCCAGACUGGUCUUGAACUCCUGGGUUCAAGCAAUCCUCCUGCCUCAGCCUCCCAAAGUGCUGGGAUUACAGGUGUGAGCUACCACGCCUGGCCCAAAGAACUCUUUCAAAAAAGGAAACAAACAGUACCUUGCAUUGGAAGAACAAACAUCAUGAAAAGCCAUCAGUAGAAAUGAGACCUCAACUUUUCCAGGUACCUUCGGCAAGUGCAGCAGGGCACUGAGCAUCAGGUGGAGACCAAAGAGAUGAAGGAAUGUUUAUCAACCGCCUGCCACACACUGAAGGAAUGUUUGUCAAGCAUCUACCAUGCACCAGGGGCUGAAGGAAUGUUUAUCAAGCACCUACUACGCACUGAAGGAAUGUUUAUCAAGCACCUACCAUGCACCAGGCACUGAAGGAACGUUUAUCAAGCACCUACCAUGCACCAGGGGCUGAAAGAAUGUUUAUCAAGCACCUACUACGCACUGAAGGAAUGUUUAUCAAGCACCUACCACGCACUGAAGGAAUGUUUAUCAAGCACCUACCACGCACCAGGUGCUGAAGGAACGUUUAUCAAGCACCGACUACGCACUGAAGGAAUGUUUAUCAAGGACCUACCACGCACCGGGCGCUGAAGGAAUGUUUAUCAAGCACCUACCACGCACCAGGGGCUGAAGGAAUGUUUAUCAAGCACCGACUACGCACUGAAGGAAUGUUUAUCAAGGACCUACCACGCACCGGGCGCUGAAGGAACGUUUAUCAAGCACCUACCACGCACUGAAGGAACGUUUAUCAAGGACCUACCACGCACCAGGGGCUGAAGGAAUGUUUAUCAAGCACGUACUACGCACUGAAGGAAUGUUUAUCAAGCACCUACCACGCACUGAAGGAACGUUUAUCAAGCACCUACUACGCACCAGGCGCUGAAGGAAUGUUUAUCAAGCACCUACCAUGCACCAGGGGCUGAAGGAACGUUUAUCAAGCACCUACCACGCACCAGGGGCUGAAGGAAUGUUUAUCAAGCACCUACCACGCACUGAAGGAACGUUUCUCAAGCACCUACUACGCACUGGGCGCUGAAGGAACGUUUAUCAAGCACCUACCACGUAACAGGUGCUGUGCCUGACAUUUUCACAUGACCUUGCUGCCUGAUGAAUGAAUCAUGUAGUGAAAGAGGUAUUAUUACUCCUCUUUGUGAGUAAUAAUAAAUGAGGAUGAAACAGGAUUGAGGACAGCGAGUGACCUGCCUAAGGAAGCGUAACUGCUAAGUUAGCAGGAAAGGUCAUUAAGAUGGUACUUAAGAUGCUGAAAUUGAGUCAGCCAGUCUGACUUCUGACACUGUGCAACCUUCUAAAGGGGUGACCGGGACAAGUCAUCUAAUUUCUCUGAGCCUCAGUAUUCUCGUCUAUAAAAUUGGGAUGAUGGUAACAUCUAUAAUCUAUUACUGAAAGAUAACGCAUGGAAUGCUCUUAACACAGUGUCUCGCAGCACGUAUAAAUUCCACAGUAAAUUUUAGCUACUGUUAUAAUUUUAAGAAUACUUGCACUAUCACUAAAAAUCACUAAAUUUCGAUAACUGAUAAUUAUCAAUUAAUUCAGAUAUGUAUCAAUUAAUUGAAAUUAUGGUGAUUUAAGUUUUAUUCUUUUUUUCAAAAAAAUCUGACCGGGCGCGAUGGCAACAUGCCUGUAAUCCCAGCAGUUU
rnacentral:lncRNA from 10 species